GAUGAACGCUGGCGGCGUGCCUAAUACAUGCAAGUCGAGCGAACAGACGAGGAGCUUGCUCCUCUGACGUUAGCGGCGGACGGGUGAGUAACACGUGGAUAACCUACCUAUAAGACUGGGAUAACUUCGGGAAACCGGAGCUAAUACCGGAUAAUAUAUUGAACUGCAUGGUGCCAUAGUGAAAGACGGUUUUGCUGUCAGUUAUAGAUUGAUCCGCGCCGCAUUAGCUAGUUGGUAAGGGAACGGCUUAUCAAGGCAACGAUGGGUAGCCGCCCUCAAGGGGUGAUCCGCCACACUGGAACUGAGACACGGUCCAGACACCUGCGGGAGGCAACAGUAGGGAAUCUUCCGCGAUGGGCGAAUGCCUGACGGAGCAACGCCGCGUGAGUGAUGAAGGUCUUCGGAUCGUAAAACGCUGUUAGUAGGGAAGAACAAAUGUGUAAGUAACUAUGCACGUCUUGACGGUACCUAAUCAAAAAGCCACGGCUAACUACGUG
rnacentral:rRNA from 1 species